rnacentral:rRNA from 1 species
AUUGAACGCUGGCGGCAUGCCUUACACAUGCAAGUCGAACGGUAACGGGCCUUCGGGUGCCGACGAGUGGCGAACGGGUGAGUAAUGCAUCGGAACGUACCUUUCAGUGGGGGAUAACGUAGCGAAAGUUACGCUAAUACCGCAUAUUCUGUGAGCAGGAAAGCAGGGGAUCGCAAGACCUUGCGCUGAUUGAGCGGCCGAUGUCAGAUUAGCUAGUUGGUGAGGUAAAGGCUCACCAAGGCGACGAUCUGUAGCGGGUCUGAGAGGAUGAUCCGCCACACUGGAACUGAGACACGGUCCAGACUCCUACGGGAGGCAGCAGUGGGGAAUUUUGGACAAUGGGGGCAACCCUGAUCCAGCCAUGCCGCGUGAGUGAAGAAGGCCUUCGGGUUGUAAAGCUCUUUCGGUCGGGAAGAAAUCGCAUGGGUUAAUACCCUGUGCGGAUGACGGUACCGGCAUAAGAAGCACCGGCUAACUACGUGCCAGCCGCCGCCGUAA